rnacentral:lncRNA from 1 species
ACACAUUCACACAAAAGUGGCUAAAGGAAAAUAGAAAGAGUUGAGAGAGAAGUGAAGAUAGAAGAAGAAGGAAGAAGACCCAUGUGAAGAAAAGAGAAUAGCAAAGCUAGGAUUUAUAAAGGGGGUGAAGAUUUUGGCGAGAUAGCUUAGCUUAAGGAGAUUUAAGGUAAGAGGGGUAUAUUUGUUCUUCCUAAUAAUCUAUAAUCAUGUUUUUAGCUUAUGAGUCAUAUUUGUUUUGUUUGAUUUGUGAAGAUUAAUGAUUAUAUGUGCAACUUUCGUGAUUUGAAUUAAGUGGUGAGUUUGAGUAUGUGAAAGUUGUUGAAAACUUGUUGUUGAUGCAUAAAUUUCAUUAUUGAUAUAUGUUAAGUUGUUUACUUUGAGAGUUUAGCUUAAAUUAGUGAAUAUGAUGAUGUUGUUGUUGAUUAAUGAUGAAUUCAUGAUUUAUGUGAUAUAAAUGUUGUUGGGUAUAUGUUGUGUUGAGAACCAUGAGCUUCAAUGUGAUAAAUACGAUGUUGGUUGAAUUGUUGUGUUUUGGUGAUUUUUGUGAAAAUGGGUCAACAACGAGAAUUGUGAUUUUGAUGAUUAUGAAUGGAGUUAUGGAGUUGUUAUGGUGAAAAUGGGUCAACAAGGAGAAUUGUGAUUUUUGUUAUGAAGUUUGGGUGAAAUCAGGUUUUUGAGUUAAAAGUAGUUUUAAGCACUUUUAAGAAAUAAAUCAUUUUGGGUGAUUUGAAAUAAGUUGUUUUGGAUUAGAAAACUAUAUUUUCGGUGAGUAUUAACUGUUUAAGUGUUUGUAAUGAAUUUAGUGAAAGCGGGAUUGAAAACGGAUCGAAAAUCAGACUCUUCCCAUGUGUGAAAAACAUGAAAAGUGUUGUUUUGUUGUAACAGGAAAAACGCACAGUCUGCAUCAAGGAGUGAUCGAACCGUCCACAACUCCUUGGACCAUGCGUUUUUCAUGGGCAAAAGUGCAUGGACCGUGCGCAUGUUGGGUGGUCCAAAACGCAAAUUUUUAUACUUCCAAGGUUCCAAAUGCAUCCCUAAGAGUUCCAAAGACCUAAACCUACUAUAUUAGAGUGUAAUUGAGCUUAUAUGAUUGGUUUAACAUAGCUUAUUUUGCGAAAAGAAAUUGAUUUCGAAACAUGAAGAUAAUGAGACGAACUUUGGGAAUUUUGAGAAAUGUAUGAACCUUGUGAAACAAAGAUGAUAUGAUUGAAUCACUAAGGUGUUAGAUGAUAUGUAGGGAUGUUUUGCUGAUAUGUAGGAACUUAAUAUCCUAUUUUGUUGAGAUAUUUUAAAAUAGACGAUUUUUGUGAAAAUAGACGAACUUUGUCGAAAUGAGGAUUUAUGAUUUGAUAACUUGUAAAUAAAUUUUAUUCAUAAUAAUAUGAUGAAAUAAUAAUGAAUCAAUGAUUGAUGAGUGUAAAAUAUGCUGGUUAACAUGAUGUGAGCGAUCGUCCGUCAAUUAUGCGAAUUGUGCUUUAUGAGCGACAUUGUCUUCUUUGUUGUGAUAAAUAAUUGGUGAUGAUGCCUAUGCUUGAUUGAUAAUUUGGUGAUGAGUAUAUAUGUGUAUAACUUGAUGAUGAAUACAUGUGUAUCCUUGAUGGUGUUAAUUAUGGAGUCGGUGAUGGUGUUAAAUUUGUGAUGUCUUGUAUGAACGUAUGCAUUUGGUGAGUCAUAUGUUCAUGCAUUCACAAAUUUUGGUGUUAGGAUAUUUCAAUAUCCAAGUGGAGAUAGAAUCCCUCGGAGAUAUUAUUUCUGACAUCCAAGUGGAGAUGGAUUAAUCGGUAAAAUGACUCCGACAUCCAAGAGUUUGGUACCACAUGCAUGUAGAGGUGUCUAGAACAUAACAUGCAUACGAACUAUAUGAUUUUGGUGAAUUGUAUGGACUUAUGUAAAGUCGUUUACUUGGAAUGUAAUUGAUUGGUGUUGUUUGUAUACUUGGAUUAAUGUUGUUAAUCUAUGAUUGGUGUGAUGAAUUAUCCAUGAGGAAUUGAUGUGAUAUGCAUUGUUGUGCUAUGAAUGAGUUAAGAUAAUAUUCACAUGAUGUUAGUAUUCUAGGAGUGAUGAAUAUGUAUAUGUGCUAUACUUGAAAUCCUUGAAUGUUAUUUUAUGAUUAUAUUUUAUUAUGUGAAAUGUUAUCUAACCCUCAGUGGUUGUUUGGUUGACCGCCUACCCAUUUGUAUGAAUGGUGUAGACGACGUGCAUGAUUGAGAACUUAUUGUUUGUGAGUACUCGAGGACUAGCUUGGAGCUACCUCCUUAUCUUUUGCUUGGAGUCUAGUUAAGCUCUGAUUAUGAGUGUUGGGACUUUUGUAUUUUUUGCUUUUUGUCCGUUGUUGGACUUAUUUGCUGAGACAGUUGUUAUGUUUAUGAGACCUGAGACAUGGUGUUGAGAUUCUAUUAUUCAUGUACUUGAGGAUUAUUAUAUGUUGUUGAGUUAUUUAUGUAUGGUGAUUUUCCACUGCGAGUUUUCUGAAAACUGAUUUAUGCAUGUUUUGAGAUAACAGAGAUGUGACAUCUUGAACUCUUGGGUAUAAUUGACUUAUUUGCAUGAUUUAUUGCAUUCAGAGGUUAGGGUUUCACACACACAUAGUGAUCAUAAAAGUUUAAAAUAUUUAUUUCAUCUGAAGGAAUUGAACAUGAGGUAGAGAAGAUGGUUAGAGUUGUUGAAGGAUUAUGAUUUUGGUUUGAAUUACCAUCCGGGUAAAGCCAAUGUGGUUGCAGAUGCGUUGAGCAGAAAGACGUUGCAUAUGUUUGCUUUGAUGGUGAAAGAAUUCGAUUUGCUAGAGCAGUUUAGAGAUUUGUGUCUUGUCUGUGAAUUGACACCUGAGAGUGUACAGUUGGGGAUGUUGAAGAUUAAUAGUGAUUUCUUGAAUAGUAUCCGAGAAGCACAUCAAGUAGAUGUUAAGUUUGUUGAUUUGAUGGUUGCUGGUAAUGGCACUAAGGAUAGUGACUUUAAGGUUGAUGAUCAGGUUCAGAGGAAGAAUUUGUAUUCCUGAUAAUGAUGAUUUGAAAAAGUUAAUUUUAGAGGAAAGUCACAAGAGUAGCUUAAGUAUUCAUCCGGGAGCUACGAAAAUGUAUCCUGAUUUGAAGAAGCUGUUUUGGUGGUCUGGGUUGAAACGUGAUGUUGCUCAGUUUGUGUAUGCGUGUUUGACUUGUCAGAAGUCUAAGGUUGAACAUCAGAAGUCUGCAGGGUUUUUGACACCGUUGGAUGUGCCGGAGUGGAAGUGGGAAAACAUUUCUAUGGAUUUUGUGACGAGUUUACCGAACACUCCGAGAGGGCAUGAUGCCAUUUGGGUUGUGGUUGACAGGUUGACGAAGUCAGCGCACUUUAUUCCAAUUAUUAUCAGUUAUCCGGUAGCUCAGUUGGCGGAGAUCUACAUUCAUAAUUUUAUGAAGUUGCAUGGUGUUCCGUCGAGUAUUGUGUCGGAUAGAGAUCCGAGGUUCACUUCUAGAUUAUGGAAGAGAUUGCAAGAUGCUUUGGGAUCGAAGUUGAGGUUGAGUUCGGCUUAUCAUCCUCAGACAGAUGGUCGGUCAGAGAGGAUGAUCCAAUCAUUGGAGGAUUUACUGAGAGUGUGGGUACAUGAGCAAGGUGGAGCUUGGGAUAGUCACCUACCGUUGAUAGAGUUCACAUACAACAACAGUUACCAUUCGAGUAUUGGUAUGGCACCGUUCGAAGCUUUGUAUGGUCGGAGGUGCAAGAAUCCUUUAUGCUGGUUUGAGUUAGGAGAGAGUGUUGUGCUGGGACCGGAUUUGGUCCAUCAGACUACGGAGAAGGUAAAGAUGAUAAGGGAAAAGAUGAAAGCGUCUCAGAGUCGACAGAAGAGUUACCAUGACAAGCGUAGAAAGGCCCUUGAGUUUCAAGAGGGGGAUCAUGUAUUUCUGAGAGUUACUCCUAUGACGGGUGUAGGAUGUGCAUUGAAGUCGAAGAAGUUGACUCCAAAGUUCAUUGGUCCGUAUCAGAUAUCAAAAAGGGUUGGAACAGUGGCAUACAGAGUGGGUUUGCCACCACAUCUUUCAAACUUGCAUGAUGUGUUUCAUGCGUCGCAACUUCGGAAAUAUGUAGCGGAUCCUUCGCAUGUUAUUCCAAGAGAUGAUGUGCAGGUUAGAGACAACCUUACAGUUGAGACCUUACCGUUGAGGAUUGAAGACCGUGAGGUGAAGAAGUUGAGAGGCAAGGAUAUACCUCUAGUGAAGGUUGUUUGGGGUGGAGUAACCGGUGAGAGUUUGUCUUGGGAGCUGGAGAGUAAGAUGCGGGAGUCGUAUCCAGAGUUGUUUGUUUGAGGUAAGAUUUCGAGGACGAAAUUCUCUAAGUUGGGGAGAGUUGUAACGCCCUAGUCGUUAUUUUAUUUAUUUUUGAAUUAUUUAGAGUCCUUUAUAUGAUUUUAUAUAAUAUUUGUGAUUUAUGUGGUGUGUAUUAUUUUAUUAUAUAGUUUAUUUUAAAAAUAAUUAGAAUAAGUGGGAAAUUAAUAUUAUUUUGGAGGUUGGGGAGUUAAUUAGAAUUAAGGGGGGAGUAAAUGAAAUAAAGGGGAGUUAUUAUUUGGGAGUUAAGAGAAAGAGAAGUCAGAAACGUUUUUACGUGAAAGCAGUCAGUUUUGGGAGAAAAAAGGGAGAGAAGAGCAAGUAGAGCCAAGGAACCCGAAUUGCUGUGCAUUUUUCUUCUGAAUUAAGGUAAGGGUGAGGUUUGCUUCAAUAGUGUAGUUAAUGAAUUCUAAUUUUGAUUUUAACAGGUUUAUGAUAGAAUUGAGAAUUUUGCUUCAAAGCGGUGAGGGCUUAUGCCCUGAUGAAUGCUUUAACCAUUCAAUAUCCGGUGAGGGCUACUGCCCUGUAAAUUGGUACCACAUGCAUGUGCAAUGUAGAGGAGUCUUAGUGGAGUUGUCGAGUGUUGCAUGAGUCGUUGUCUUGGUUGUAAAUAUCGUUGUUGAUGAUGUGUUGAUUGUGAAAUAUACAUUUAUAUUUGAAUCAUUAUUAUUAUGUUGGGGUGUUAGAUUCAAUUGAUGAAUUUAUUAUCUAUAUUUAUUGUUGUGAAUCUCACCCCUUCUGCUUGAAAAUGUUGCCCUUCGUAUGGGUAACUUGCAGGUGAUCCUGAGUAGUAGGUGGUGGCUUAAGUGUCUAGGGCUCUGAUACGUACGGGAUGGGAUUUAAUUGCUUAUUUUCAUUCCUAUGUAUCAAUUUUUGGAACAUGUGGAUGUAGCCCUUUAUUUGGUUGUUGAAUUUAUCUUGAUGAGGCUUUUAUGCCAAGAUUAUUUUAUGGAGAAUUAAACAGUUAUUGUUGUUGCUUUUGAUGCAAAUAUUCCGCUGCAAAUUAAUGAUGUUUUUGAAGGAUGUUUAUUAAAUAGUUUGUAUAUUCUAUUUAAGAAAUUUUGAAAAUGUU